UUUCUAUGUCGUUUUUCUCAUGUAAUUUUGUAUUUGUGAAACAAUCUACUGUUGUGAAAGGGACAAUGCUUAAAAGAUGGGUGGGUUUUGCCUCUUAGCGUAUGUCUUAAAAUCAUUUGUUCAAACUCUUCGUAAGGGAAGAAACUUGUAGGAUCCCGCUCUUAUGAUUUGAGUUGUUAAACGCUCUCUAAAUGCCUCUUGUGUAUUGUGAAUGUUUUUCUGCCUUUGUUCCUCUACCGUUUUUCAGUUUUUUUGCUUUAUUCUGCAACGUUGUAUUUCCCCUCGCUCUUGUUUUUGGGAGGGCGCGUGGAAUUUACUUUGUUCCUGAAGGCGCAAAAACUCCUUUCCUGCCUUCCCUGGAAGCACUGGCGGUAGUUUUUCUCAGUGUUUUAUCAAUCCUGGUCGUGAGUGAUGUCCUGCGGACAUUUUCAGCCCAUCUCAAGCAUUACUAUUUAUAUCCGAGAUGCAUGUAUUUCUGAAGUUGGAGGGGAUGGUGUUUGUAUGGAAUGUAAGGUGGAGGUAAGGAAGUUUUCUCAUUCUGAGUCCCUUUUCCAAGUACUCUGCUCCUUGCUGAUGUCUUGUCUAGGACCACACGUGUGGCAUCUUUAGUUUUUAGAGAUUUUGGCUUGCAUAAAUUUUCUGUCAUUACUGAGGCUCUCAAAAAGAUUUGUUAAAGAUUUAUUUUUAAUAAGAAUUUGUGCUUGUUAAAGCACAGACCAAGUGCUUUCCAAUAAGUAUCUCUGCUUUAAAACGUGGCGUGUCCAGAAUAAUUUUUAAAUGGAGGCUCUUCCCUAUUCAUUGUGUUCUGAUUUUUGUGAACCUACCUGGAAAACGGAUUUCUCUCUGACUGUGAAUUCAGUCACACACACGCCCCUUUGCUCUCCUAGGAAAUAGAUCUGUUGUUGCCUGAGAAAUGUACUUUUCUAAAAUUAUUUCUGACUUUUUGGCACCUUUAUAUCCAUUAAUACUGCAGGUAGUUUUAUGUAAUUUAAGGAGCCUGCUGUUCCAUUAAAUUAUUGCAAGUUGUGUCCCUUUGGCUUUUCGAUGCUACAAACCUGUAAAAUCUUAAAGCUGUGGCUUUAAGAAGCGGUUGGAUUGAGUUAGACACAACCUUCAUUUAAACAAGGAAAUAAAGAGCCACUGAGAAAUGCCUAGAGGAAAUAUUUCUCCUGGAAAGCCUAAGAUUGGGAGUCUGAGAUAAAAGAAUGCUGCCACAUCAAAGCUGGAUGUGAGCAAGACCUCUGUGCUGACCAGCUGAGGAUUGCCUUGAGAGUUGCUAUUGGUUUCCAAUUUGUCUUUUUUUCAGUUCUCAGGUUACAGCUUGAGCUGGGUGGAUCUGCAGAGUGAGCACUACACCAAAAAUUAACCUUCAAUCCCAUUCAGGCUACCCAGCACUCAACUCCCAGGUUCAUCAGUAGCUUCUGGUCAGUUGUCUCUUUCUUUGGUUUUGUGGGGUUUUUGGGAUUUUUUUCAUCUGACAUUACCUCAAUUCUUGGAGUUGUUUCCUUGGUCCUUCCUUACCUUUUUCAUUCUGCUUUGGGCUAGUUGAACAUUAGCAACAUUAGCUUUUAAAAAAAACCUUUUAUUUUGGUCAGCUCUUGUGGCCUAAUGCUGUAAGCACUCCAGCCAUGAAUGCUAAACUACUUAAUAUAUCAUGAGAAUAUGGAGAAAACAGUUAAUGAAAAUGUCCUGUAUAAUACUGUGGAGUAACACAGGAUGGAAAGCUCUGUUGUCAGUUAAAUUGUUAUGGCAAUACCAGUUUUUAGUAAUAAAAACAACAAACUAAAGGAACAUUGAUAUAUAAAAACAAUGCAAACUGAGCUUGAAUUAAACCAGUUUGCACAUUAAAAAUGCAAGCCCAUCUGGCUGGGGGCCUCAGCCCCCAGUCUGUGAUGACUGAUAGGGUUCAGCAAAACAAAUCCUGCAGCUCCAGGGACAUUGGGGUGGUAAAAGCCAUGCCCCAACCUUGCUCACUCCACACUGGUUUCGUCUGUGCCACCUAUGGUGCCCUGCAUCACAGCCUAAAGAUGCUUUUAAGUUUGGCUCCAGAGACACUGGUGCCACCAAAGACCUGCUGAGGUGAGCGUGGCACUGCCCCAAUGUUGCUGUGAGAGUACACGUGACACAAAGCAGAUCUGUCAGAAACUUCAUCCAAGCCAUUAUUGUGCCCAUACGCAGCAUUUUUAUACCCUUCUGACCCCAUGGUGCACCCCAUUUAAUUUGCCAUCACCACACCACCCCUCAAGUCCAUUGGUGGCAGCGCUGUUUUGAGAAAGUAUCCCCAAAAAUCCAAAAUACAGAUAGAUUUUGUUUUUCCAUGGUGUUUUUCUCAGCACAGAUGUUCCUUGUUUUCCUCUACCUUUAUCUUCUUUUUCUUCUUCUCACAGACACACAAGAAUCCUGCUGGCUUCUUCUUUCUGUUAACUCUCUCAUCUGCCCCUCAUCCUGCUGUGGGCUCUCUCCACACCCCAACACUUCUUCCUCCUCACCUUUCUCAUCUGGGUCACCUGUGAUGCUUUCACAAGUUUACAUGUAUUGACAAUGUUCAGUUCCAUAUCUGUUUCCCAGUCCUUCAUGUUCUUUUCCCUUAAGCAUUGUGAGGUUUUGCUACUCCAUUAACGUGAAGAUGCUUUUUUAAUGGGUUUGAUCACUUUGUCUUUACACAUCAGCCAAGUCUGUACUCUGUGGUGCUGUCCUCUGUUCUCAUGUGGAGGAUAAUGUAGUUGAGAUAUUAAUAUACCCAAUUAUAUAUCGUCUGUGUCCUUAUUGCUUCUCUCUCCACAUUUUAUUCUUGCUCAUCACAAUCUGUUUCUGCAGAUCUUCCAUUUCACUGCAUGCUAUCCCCAUGCCAUGAAUACUUGAUGUAUUUAUGAGUAUCCUCUUUCUCUCUGCCCAUGGAUUUUUAUUUUUAUGCUAUUCCAAGCACAGCACUUAUCCAUCAAGAUAGAUCUUUAAUGCUAUACAAAACUUUGGCCUGUAAGAGCUUCAACUUGUGAUGCCAUCAAUAGGAAAGUAAUUGAUCCAGAGGGCACAUGAUAUACUUUCCAGUAAGUGUUCCAUAUGAUCCCAUUGAUUUGAGGGCAGUAUGCCAAUGUUGUAAUGAAAACAAGGACCUAGAGCCUAAGGCAUGAUGUAAGAAGCAUGACAAAAAAAAACCAAACAAAACCAAACACAAAAAACCAAAAACAAAUAAACAAAACAAACAAACAAGAAGUGUUUCUGAGACAUAGCUUUUCAGGAACAGCCAAAAGUCAAACAUAAAUCUUUGUGUGUUUUAGAUGUCAAUUCAGUGUGCUGAGGUCUGAAUGUUUCCUGAGUUAAUUCAGACUACUGCUAAUAUAUGAAAAACAGGUAAGAUCUCCACUGCACCAAUGCAAUGAUAAAUAGCACUUGAGAAUUUCUGAAUGCUUUGCUGCAGUCAACUAGCUCUGUAAAAAUCAUUAUCACACUGAGAUUGAAGACUUCUAAAUAACAAACAGGGCCAGCUGCAAUUCAAGUUAGUUACUUUUUCAAAUAGAAAAUUAAGAAAAGUUUUCUUCCCCUCAUUUUUCCUAAAUUAAGUGUGAUGUUGUUUGCUAAAAUUGAAUGUUAUUUUCCUUAUUUGGGCCACUUUUGAUCUUCCCAUCAGUUCUCCCAGGCAGACUCAU